UCCAACCCCCCAACAAACCAUCUAGCUCAGCUAAUUCUUUGUCUUCGUAAAUCGUAAGACUAAAACUUAUAAGGCACAGAGAGGUAGGGGAAUUGUUGAAUUUCACCACCGAGUGAAAUGCUCUCGAUUCUCUCUCGCCUGUGGCUGUUGCCUUUGUUAUUCAUAUUCAUUCGUCGUAUUUCGUAAAGGAAACAUCAUUCUUUAAAACGUCUCUUUCAAAUAUUGCUUAUUUCUCUGCGACGCGAUUUUAACUUCAACCAUUUUAAUUUAAUCUUUAAUUACGCGAAUUUGCGAUUUUAUUACUCGCGAUGGUUUCGACUGUUUAAUAAUCGAAUUGCAAAUAUUUAAUCGCGAAAUAAGGUUAUAUUUAAUUUUUCCUAAUUGUGAAUAAUGUUCGUUGGUUCGCGAGAAGUAUGAUGGUGACGUUGGUAUUAUAUUUCAAUCCUUUCAGACUGAUGGAAAUUAUCGAGUAUCGUAGUUCGGAGGAAAAGCGGCUCGUGUAGAAAAUACGUAAAGUUUUCCAACGUACAUUUUACUUUUAAAAGAUGGUUUUAUCUUGUACUUUCGUCAUCGAAUGUAUCGACCUACUUGUCGACCUAUCAAG